AUAUGUGUGUUUAUAAUUGGACA
rnacentral:siRNA from 1 species